rnacentral:lncRNA from 1 species
GAUGUUCACCGCUGCUGGUUCUGUACUUUCUGGGAAAUAUAUUGUUGUCGGAGCGAGUCUCUCGGGAACAUAUAUUUCUUCAGGAGUGAAAUAAAACGUCACCGUCGAUACAUCAUUCUUCACUGGAUGGGCCUGAUCGAACUGAAGACAACCUUCAUCUAUCAGUUGCUGAAUACCCCUUCUCAAACUGUCACAUCCGUUUUCGGCAGCUUGACAAUUU